CAUUGAAACACUGGUUCUCAUACAGUCACCAAAGUUAAGCAACAUCGAGCCUGGUCAGUACCUUGAUGGGGGAAUGUUUUGGGAAUACCAGGUGCUGUAAG